rnacentral:misc_RNA from 1 species
GAUGAAGAACGUAGCGAAAUGCGAUAAGUAAUGUGAAUUGCAGAAUUCAGUGAAUCAUCGAAUCUUUGAACGCACAUUGCGCCCGCCAGCACUCUGGCGGGCAUGCCUGUUCGAGCGUCAUUUCAACCAUCAAGCCCCCAGGGGCUUGUGCUGGGGCCCUGCGGCUGCCCGCAGGCCCUGAAAACCAGUGGUGGGCUCGCUAGUCACACCGAGCGCAGUAGCACAUCUCGCUCAGGGCGUGCGGCGGGCUCCUGCCGUGAAACCCCCCACUGUAACCCCAAAGGUUGACCUCGGAUCAGGUAGGAAUACCCGCUGAACUUAAGCAUAUCAAUAAGCGGAGGA